CUCUUAUCCAGAGAGGUGGAGGGACUAGGCCCGAUGAAACCCGGCAACCUUCAUGUGCAUACUUGCCAUGAAAAGGUGCUAAUUCCUGCAGGCGCAUUGCCUGAAAGAUAAGAG
rfam:Bacillus marisflavi strain JCM 11544 super9, whole genome shotgun sequence.